GUAUGUAUGGAAUACCCAUUUGCUUUCUAUAGUCUUCAAGGUCCUUUUCCCUUACGUAAAACACCAAGCCUAAAUCUUACAUUCAGCUUUUUAGAAGGCAGAACAAGCAGCCAUUGAGCUCUUGCUGUGGGACUGACCCCGCCUUCUGCCUGAUGUCAGUGGGGAUACUGCUUACCUUCCUUCCUGCAAGGAAAUCCACACACUCUUAUUUCAUCCGGCCUGGGGAGGAGGGGAAAGAGGAAGUCACCUGUGAAAUUGUCUUUGCGCUUUGGACUCAAGCCCCCAGCAAAGAAAACACUUCUAUGCUCCCAGCAAGACUCACCUGGCCAUGCCUAAGUCAACACCCUCAAGAGGCAGUAGAUGAGUGAACAUGUAAGUGCUGUCAGCCUCCAGGGAUGGAUAAGGCUUGCUUCCUCUGACUGCAUGUCUGCCUGGAAAAUGGGAGGACAGUGAGUUUUAGGCGGACAACCAAAAUUGUUAUCUACAAGAAGUUUACAGACAUGGAGGUUCACAAACAAGAAGCUCAUACCCAGUCUUGACAUAUAAAAAGAGGUGGGAAUAAGUGUUAUUAUCAUGAUGAAAUCAACGUGCUGCUGCGAGGGAGACUAAUUCAGGCCAAGGUCCAGGUGACAUCUGAGCUGCAGAUUUCAUAUUAAAGGUGACAUCUUAGUUGCGCCUUAAUUUAAAAAGAAUAUGAUUUUGACUGCUGGAUAAAGGGGAAAAGACCGGGGAAGGCAAAUAGAUGACCACAUUGCUCAUGGAGAAAGUGAUUCUUUUCAAGUGACUCAUUCAAAAUGGCUGCUGCAUAGCACAUGAUGAGAAAUGCCUGUGACAGAUGAGGCAGAAGAAAUGACCUCUUUAGCAUGAUGGUUACUUGAACUCAGGAGAACCAGGAACACCUUUGUUUGGUGGUGAACUUCAUCUUGAAAUCUUUGGCCUUAGCAGCCUACAGAUGCUGAGUGAUUGUUAAAUGGACAAGUGUAUUUGCAGGGAAAUUCAAUUCCUGUUUUAAAAUUACUUAUUCCUCCCAUCUGACAAGGGAUUCAUAACCAGAAUAUACAAGGAGCUCAAACAACUCUAUAGGGAAAAAAAUCUAAGAAUCUGAUCAAAAUGGGCAAAAGUUCUGGAUAGACAUUUCUUAAAAGAAGACAUACAAGUGGCCUAUGAAGAGGUUCUCAACAUCGUGUAUCACUAGAGAAAUGCAAAUAUAAACUGCAAUGAAAUAUCAUCUCAUUCUGGUUAAAAUGGCCUGUAUCCAAAAGACACGCAAUAGCAAAUGCUGGUGAGGAUGUGGAGAAAAGGGAUCACGUGUACACUGUGGGAAUGUAAAUUAGUACAACCACCAUGAAGAUCAGUUUGUAGGUUCCUCAAAAAAACUAAAAAUUGAGCUACCAUAUGAUCCAGCAAUCCCACUGUGGGGCAUAUACUCGAAAGAAAGGAAAUCAGUGAGUCAAAGAGAUAUCUGCACUUCUACGUUGCAACACUGUUUAUAAUAACUAAGAUUUAGAAGCAAUGUAAGUGUUCAUCAACCAAUGAAUGGGUAAAGAAAAUGUGGUACAGAUACACAGUGGAGUACUAUUCAGCCAUAAAAAAGGAGAUCCUGUCAUUUGCAACAACAUGGGUGGAACUGGAGAUCAUUACAUUAAGCAAAAUAAACCUGGAACAGAAAGACAAACAUCACAUGUUCUCACCUAUUUGUGGGAUCUAAAAAUCAAAACAAUUGAACUCAUGGACAUAGAGAGUGGAAGGAUGGUUACCAGAGGCUGGGAAGGGUGGUGGGGGGCUGGAGGGGAGGCAGGGAUGGUUAAUGGGUACAAAAAAAUAGAAAGAAUAAAUAAGACUUACUAUUUGAUAGCACAACACAGUGACUAUUAAAUAGUAGCUUAAUUGCACAUUUUAAAAUAAAGAGUGUAAUUGGAUUGUUUAUAACUCAAAGGAUAAACGCUUGAGGGGAUAGAUACCUCAUUCUCCAUGAUGUGCUCAUUUCACAUUGCAUGCAUGUAUCAAAACAUCUCAUGUGUGCCAUAAAUACAUCUACGAUGUACCCACAAAAAUUUUUAAAA
rnacentral:lncRNA from 10 species